GGCUUCUACCGGUAGGUGACAGGGCAGUGUUCCCAGCAGUGGGACAAGAGGCACUGGCACCAGGCCAUGAGCCAUGCAUUCCUAGCUCUGCAGGGCAUGCAUGCCACGCGGACUGUGACAGUGAGCUCUUCCAGGCCCCCAGUGAGCCUGAGAGGGGGUCUGGGAAGAGUCAAGAGACACCCAGACAGUGCCAUGUGGCAGUGAAGCCUCUGGUCCCAAUCUGCCAGGGUGCAAAGCCCCAGGACUGCUGGUGGGAUGUUGGCACUACCCCGUUUUCCUUUUCCAGCUACAACAGAAUGGCAGAGAGGAAAGGACCCUCCGGGAUCUUCCAGUUCAGCCAGCCCAUUUUACAGAGGUGGAGACUGAGGCCAGAGAUUCCUUGAGAAAUUUAUUCAUCUGCCUCCAGCACCCAGAGCCGCCAGGGCCCAGAGAGAGCUCUGUGUUUGUGGAGUGAAUAUUAAAUGUCCUAUGAAUUCCACUCCCCGCCUUUCUGGACCAAAGCCUUUGUCUCUGUUCACUUCCUCUCAUUUGAGAUAAAAUUGAUUUGGGCUUUUCGAAUUCAAGUUUAAUUUCUCAUAAAAACACUAGAGAGCUGAGAACGUCCUCUCUUGGGGCCCAAGCUCUGUCUCCAACAGGCAACACACCGGGAAGCCAAGAGCCUAGGACGGCAGGACAAAGGCUUCCCCGCAGCCCAGGCUCAGCUCAGUCCACUGCAGUCUCCUCUCCCAGCCUUCUCCUUGCAGAUCAUCAUCUCUCCUGAUGGUCACACCCGUCUGCCUGCGCCUGGGUCCCAGCACUUCCUCUGUCUCCAGAGUCCCCUCUCCAGCAAUCACCCCUUCCUUCUCCCCAAAGCAUCCUCCUCCUUCUCUUCCGGAUCUUUCUCAUCAGCAUUUCAGUGAGUUGAAGUCUCUCCCUCUUAAAGAAUGAUGAUAAUACUAACAGCCACCCUUCUAGAACACCUCAUUCCCUUCUAUUUUGCCUCAUGUUCCUCUUUCAGUUUUACAAUUAUGCUUAUUGAAAUUUCCUGGGUUUUUUUGUUUGUUUGUUUUUGUUUUUUGAGACAGAGUCUUGCUCUGUCAUCCAGGCUGGAGUGCAGUGCCUUGAUCUGGGCUCACUGCAACCUCUGCCUCCUGGGUUCAAGCGAUUCUCAUGCCUCAGACUCCCAAGUAGCUGGGAUUAUAGGUGUGUGCCAC
rnacentral:lncRNA from 1 species